GUAAAGCGUGCGCAGGCGGUUUUGUAAGACUGUCGUGAAAUCCCCGGGCUCAACCUGGGAAUGGCGAUGGUGACUGCAAGGCUAGAGUUUGGCAGAGGGGGGUAGAAUUCCACGUGUAGCAGUGAAAUGCGUAGAUAUGUGGAGGAACACCGAUGGCGAAGGCAGCCCCCUGGGUCAAAACUGACGCUCAUGCACGAAAGCGUGGGGAGCAAACAGGAUUAGAUACCCUU
rnacentral:rRNA from 1 species